rnacentral:rRNA from 1 species
UACGGAGGAUCCAAGCGUUAUCCGGAUUUAUUGGGUUUAAAGGGUGCGUAGGCGGCCCUGUAAGUCAGUGGUGAAAUACUCUAGCUUAACUAGAGGGGUGCCAAUGAUACUGCAGGGCUUGAGUACAGAUGAGGUAGGCGGAAUUGACGGUGUAGCGGUGAAAUGCAUAGAUAUCGUCAAGAACACCUAUAGCGAAGGCAGCUUACUGGGCUGUAACUGACGCUGAGGCACGAAAGUGUGGGGAUCAAACAGG